rfam:Aggregatibacter actinomycetemcomitans D11S-1, complete genome.
AAUUUCCUGAGGUGUUCGCCAGUGGGUUACGUCCCUGAGCCGAUACUUUUAAUCUUAUGAAUUGGUUUCCUGUCAUUGGUGUGCAGGCUUAGCUCGACUAAGAAGCCUAAAAAUGAUUUCAACUAAUUCCCUUGAACCGUAGGGUUCAAGGACCGACCACCCGCAACGGCACCUCGGGGUCUCC